rnacentral:rRNA from 1 species
UUGGAGGGCAGUCUGGUGCCAGCAGCCGCGGUAAUUCCAGCUCCAAUAGCGUAUAUUAAGUUGUUGCAGUUAAAAAGCUCGUAGUUGAAUUUCGGGAUCAGAGUGUCGGUCGUGCCUCGGUACGCACUGGUAUUAUUGGUUCCUACCUUCUGAAGAACCGCGAUGUCAUUAAUUUGGUGUCGUGGGGAAUCAGGACUGUUACUUUGAAAAAACUAGAGUGUUUAAAGCAGGCUUACGCUUGAAUACAUUAGCAUGGAAUAAUGAAAUAGGACGUUUGAUUCUAUUUUGUUGGUUUCUAGGAUUGACGUAAUGAUUAAUAGGGAUAGUUGGGGGCAUUAGUAUUCAAUUGUCAGAGGUGAAAUUCUUGGAUUUAUUGAAGACUAACUACUGCGAAAGCAUUUGCCAAGGAUGUUUUCAUUAAUCAAGAACGAAAGUUAGGGGAUCGAAGACGAUCAGAUACCGUCGUAGUCUUAACCAUAAACUAUGCCGACUAGGGAUCGGAUGAUGUUAAUUUUUUAAUGACUCAUUCGGCGCCUUACGGGAAAC